GCGCAAAUGAGAUCACCAUAACUGUAUGACUUACAUCUUUAUUUUCUUGUGCCUCGACAGAUUUGAACGUUUUAUUAAUCCAGUCUUUCACAUCGAAAGUAUCUUCGGAAAACGCAGAUACGUCCUGAAAUCAGUUUAAGACGAAUACUAUAAAGGAAAGAUCAUUUUGGAAAACGCCGUUUCACCCCGUUACGACGACUUGAUUUCGUUGUAAUACGGUCCACUUGCCUGGAUUCCGACGAACUGCCUGGCAAAAGGGAAAGAAUUGUAAAUUGAAGAGGAAAAGGGAGAGAAAAUGGAAAACAGCAUGUUAUCGGCCGUUUCCGGGCCCUUUGUUGAUCGCCACGCCUCCGAAACUGCGUUUGCGCGUGACGAUUUGCGCAACAGUUGGAAGUUGGAAUUCUGCCUCGAAAUAGCCUUAAUCUCAACGAAAAUAAGGAGAGCUGGCUGAACAGAACUGCAACAACUGUAUUUUGCCCUUUUCUUUGCGAACAUAAAACGCAUCGUCUGGUUGAGACAAGGCCUACCUUCCCCAGGUUGUGCAUACACACGCAUACACUCCAUUUUUUUUUCUGUGUUACAUGAAUCCAUUACGUAUGUAACUGAUUAUUUUAUGCCUUAUUUAUGCUCAUUUUGUAAUUAGAGCUAUCUGAUCUUUUCUGUUAUUAGAAUAUUUAAAACGCGAUCUUGGAAUUUUGAGUUCACGUGCGUAACGAGGGAUUUAUUCUUUCGCAUAAAGUUGAACUUUAUUACGGAUGGCAAUCAGACUCAAUCAGUACAGCAUAUUAGAAGCGUAUGCAUUUAAUGUCGUGUAUAAAGUGCGUCGAUCAGAAGUCCAAUUUUGUAAUCUUGCUGUGCAUAUGAAUGCGUGCCGCUGAUAAAUUGUCCUUCAAUUGGACCAGAUUGAGACUUUUCAAAAAAAAAAAAAAAAAAAACUAUUAUUUCAUUUAUUUAACCAUAAACAGAUUAAAAAAUAUCAACCUCUAUAUUUCAGAAUAUCGAUUCGUUCUUUUUGCGUGUUAAUGUUAAUGCAAAAACUAUUGUUGAUAGUAAUUUCUUAUUUUAUUAACGAUACAAUUUAAUAUUCAUAAUAUUGGUUCGAUAAUUUUGCUACAAUGUCAUGCUACUUCUUACUAAUUUAGUCGUCUGCCGAGGUUUAAGAUAAA